GGCCGUGUAGCUCAAUGGAUAGAGCGCGGGUCUACGGAACCCGAGGUCGCAGRUUCGACCCCUGCCAUGGUCA
rnacentral:tRNA from 1 species